rnacentral:rRNA from 1 species
GAGUAACGAUAAAGGGGUCGAGAGGCCCCUCGCCGAAAAUCCAAGGUUUCCUGCUCAACGCUAAUCGGAGCAGGGUGAGUCGGCCCCUAAGGCGAGGCAGAAAUGCGUAGUCGAUGGGAAACAGGUUAAUAUUCCUGUACCGUUUGUUACUGCGAUGGGAUGACGGAGAAGGUUAGGUCAGCCAGCGGUUGGAAGUGCUGGUUUAAGCGUGUAGGCAGUGUUUUUAGGCAAAUCCGAAGACACAAUGCCAAGGCGUGAUGACGAGUUCCGUAGGGAACGAAGUGAUUGAUACCCUGCUUCCAGGAAAAGUCUCUAAGCUUCAGGUAACAGAUGACCGUACCCCAAACCGACACAGGUGGAUGGGAUGAGAAUUCUAAGGCGCUUGAGAGAACUCGGGUGAAGGAACUAGGCAAAAUAGCACCGUAACUUCGGGAGAAGGUGUGCCUCUGUUAGGUGAAGGUCCUAGCGACUGGAGCUGAAGGAGGUUGCAGUGAACUGGUGGCUGCGACUGUUUAUUAAAAACACAGCACUCUGCAAACACGAAAGUGGACGUAUAGGGUGUGACGCCUGCCCGGUGCCGGAAGGUUAAUUGAUGGGGUUAUCUUCGGAGAAGCUCUUGAUCGAAGCCCCGGUAAACGGCGGCCGUAACUAUAACGGUCCUAAGGUAGCGAAAUUCCUUGUCGGGUAAGUUCCGACCUGCACGAAUGGCGUAACGAUGGCCACACUGUCUCCACCCGAGACUCAGUGAAAUUGAAAUUGCGGUUAAGAUGCCGUAUACCCGCGGCUAGACGGAAAGACCCCGUGAACCUUUACUACAGCUUUGCACUGAACUUUGAACCUAUUUGUGUAGGAUAGGUGGGAGGCAUAGAAGCGUGAACGCCAGUUUGCGUGGAGCCGACCUUGAAAUACCACCCUGGUAUGUUUGGAGUUCUAACCUGCAUCCAUGAUCUGGAUGAGGGACAGUGUAUGGUGGGUAGUUUGACUGGGGCGGUCUCCUCCCAAAGAGUAACGGAGGAGCACGAAGGUACACUAAGCAUGGUCGGACAUCAUGCGGUUAGUGCAAAGGCAAAAGUGUGCUUGACUGCGAGACAGACACGUCGAGCAGGUACGAAAGUAGGUCUUAGUGAUCCGGUGGUUCUGAAUGGAAGGGCCAUCGCUCAACGGAUAAAAGGUACUCCGGGGAUAACAGGCUGAUACCGCCCAAGAGUUCAUAUCGACGGCGGUGUUUGGCACCUCGAUGUCGGCUCAUCACAUCCUGGGGCUGUAGCCGGUCCCAAGGGUAUGGCUGUUCGCCAUUUAAAGUGGUACGCGAGCUGGGUUUAGAACGUCGUGAGACAGUUCGGUCCCUAUCUGCCGUGGGCGUUGGAAAUUUGAGAGGAGCUGCUCCUAGUACGAGAGGACCGGAGUGGACGUACCCCUGGUGUUCGGGUUGUGAUGCCAAUCGCAUUGCCCGGUAGCUAUGUACGGACGGGAUAACCGCUGAAAGCAUCUAAGCGGGAAGCCCCCCUCAAGAUUAGAUUUCCCCGAGCUUUAAGCUCCUGAAGGGCCGUGGAAGACCACCACGUUGAUAGGCUGGGUGUGGAAGCGCAGUAAUGUGUGAAGCUAACCAGUACUAAUUGCCCGUGAGGCUUGACCAUAUAAC